CGUCUCUCAAAAUUUGUGUCUCCUUGCUCAAAAGUAAGUUUUGAAGACAAGAGAAAAGAAAAGGAAAGAUAAUAUUGAAAAGAGGCGAAUCCCAUUCCCAUCCCCCACCCAUCUCUCUCCAUGACCAUUACCAGGAGGAGCAGGACGACGCCAUGGAAGGGUCACCAACAACUCCGGUCUUCUCCAUGGACAUGGAGGUCCUCCGCUGCACUCCCUGAUGCAUCAAGCGCGCAGGCAUACAAGGAGGCUCUGCUUCUUCCCAGGUCGCCAUGGAAGAUUAUUCUUCAGGUUGAUACUAAAUUGGCAAUGUUGCUGUUCGGACCCCGCUGCCGCUGCGGACGCCAUGGAGCCCGUCCAGCAGCAUGAUUGAUUCGGUACUGCAUCAUCCCCGGUUAAUGCAGAGGACAAGGGGCUCAUCGUGUGUGUCUCCCUUCGACCAACGAGGCACGACGUUGUUCGGCACUGGCUGCAAAAUAAUCACGAUUAUUCUUCAGGUUGAUACUAACUUGGUAAUGUUGCUGUUCCGAGACCCCGCUGCCGCUGCGGACGCCAUGGAGACCGUCAAGGCGCAGACUGUUGUGUGCCGCCUCUUCCAUGGGCGUCCACGCCAUGGAGCUCCUUAAGAGACCCUCAAUGAUGACAGGUGGAGUGCAGGACAUUGAGGACAUGAUAUGAACCGCCGUUCCAGACGCCCGCCUCAGGGAAGGAGCACUCCAUCCCGCUGAUAACAAUGUUUUGAAAGAGGAGAUGACGGAUUUGGUGGAGGAGAGGAACUCCCUCAAGGACGAAAAGAGGAGCCCUGUGUACAGAAAACUUGUGAUGCUGCUUUGUCAAGUGCUUGUGUGGUGGUUUCGAUUUGACCUAGAAGACCGCCGCUUCGCUCCUCCGGGUCUGCUUAUUCCCGGGUCGCCGCUGCUCCCACGAUGGAGGAAAC